CCGACGGGUGAGUAACACGUAUGCAAUCCACCUGUAACAGGGGAGUAACCCGGAGAAAUCCGACUAAUACCCAUAAUAUGGGCGCUCCGCAUGGAGAGUUCAUUAAAGAGAGCAAUUUUGGUUACAGACGAGCAUGCGCUCCAUUAGCCAGUUGGCGGGGUAACGGCCCACCAAGGCGACGAUGGAUAGGGGUUCUGAGAGGAAGGUCCCCCACAUUGGAACUGAGACACGGUCCAA
rnacentral:rRNA from 1 species